rnacentral:tRNA from 3 species
GGGCCCUUAGCUCAUGCCUGGUUAGAGCAGAGGACUCAUAAUCCUUUGGUGCGCGGUUCGACUCCGCGAGGGCCUACCA